GACGAACGCUGGCGGCGUGCUUAACACAUGCAAGUUGAACGGAAAGGCCUUUCUUUUGUGGGGUGCUCGAGUGUCGAACGGAUGAGUAACACGUGAGUAACCUGCCCUUGACUUUGGGAUAACUUCAGUAAACUGGGGCUAAUACCGGAUAGGAGCUCCUGCUGCCUGGUGGGGGCUGGAAAGUUUCGGCGGUUGGGGAUGGACUCGCGGCUUAUCAGCUUGUUGGUGGGGUAGUGGCUUACCAAGUCUUUGACGGAUAUCCGGCCUGACCGGGUGACAGGCCACAUUGGGAGUGAGAUACAGCCCACCCUGAUACGGGAGGGAGCAGUGGGGAGUAUAGUUCAAUGGGCGGAAGAAAGAUGGACCGACGCCGCGUGCGUGAUGACGGAAGUCGGGUGGUAAACCGCUUUCGCCUGUGGCGAAGAAUGAGUGACGGUAAUGGGUAAAGAAGCAACGGCUAACUACGUG
rnacentral:rRNA from 1 species